UGCAGGCGUAGGUCCAGGAGGCUGAGGAAGUAUUCUGUAGUUUCCUUUGUCAUUUUUAAUCAAGCUUUUGCCCUUGCAUGUUCCUUUUCUACUUGGUUACCUGUCUCACAGCUGCUGAAAGCCUUCCCUGCCUCCUGGAGGUGCUUAGGUUCCUGUGGAAAUGCCACUUUCAAGAAUGAGUUCCAGAGUUGCAAACAUACCGGCUGCAGAAGCCCAAACCCCUACGUAACACCAUCAGGGGCAGCAAGUCCCUCUUGGAUGACCGCACUUGUCCAAGCAGUGCGUUUUGGCAGAGGUCUGGAGACCAGUACCAAGCAGCUCCUUCUGUUGAGGUUCUUGAGGGCAGGAGAACAGGAUCACUGUGUGUUCAUCUGCUGGUGCUUGAAUCUCCUCACACAAGCCCUAGGUGUGCUUAGCUGAAGGGAUGCUCAAAGGCACCUGUGUUCAUUGACACCCCACCCCCCCACCCCCCCCGGCUUAGAGCUGCCCUCUGUUUCUCAUCUAAAGGCGUUUUUCAAUUCCUUAUUCCAAAAUGUGGUAAACUUAAGAAUUUAUUUGAUGGGAGCUGAAUGUGGAGGGGUUUGACUUUCUUGACAGAUGAGAGCCUUGACACCUGCUGCAGCCCCAAGUGCUGAGCUCUUCUGGAAUGGGUCUUUUUUUGAUCUUUCCUGUUGGAGUUUGUCAUCCUUGUGUGAGUAACUAAACACUCCCUGAGAAAGGCUGACCACACAUAGUCUUUGUUGGGGGAGCCAGGAGUGUCCUGCAGUCCUGCCGUUGGUACGAGAAACAGUGCAGGUUGUACCCAGCCACAGCUUGGUGAGAAGUUCAACAAGCAGAAUGAUCUUCCAGGUGAGCUUGGAGCAACGGCUCAGCUCUGAUGCUGUGUUAGUGAGAAAGAUUUAGGAGUCGAAUAAAUACAGUGACUAAUGAAAAUGCUAUCCUGGUGACAGGGACAUGUGAACAUGGGUGGGCACAGCUGACACAUGCAGGAGGUAUAUUCAGCUGGAGCCAACUCCAAGCAGCUGGUAAGGCCAAUACAUAGCUGACUCAAAGCAUGGAUGACUUGUAGGGAACAUCCGUUGGGAUCACAGCAUCUAGUGAGCUCAGAUCCCACUCCCAGCUGUGUCAAAGACGUGGUGUCAGUUACAGCCACACAGCUUUUGGCCAGCCUGCAGCUAAUAUCUGCAUUUAAUUUCUGCUGCUGUUUCUCAUGCAGCCCUGCCGGGCCCAUCAGCAGGGGAGGCAGGUGGCAGCAGGCACCUGUUUAGAGCCGUGAGCUGGUGGGGAGCAGAGCAUGGCAGCACUGGGACCAGCCUGUCCCAUGCUGGGUGCAAAUCCACCCCCUGUCCUCGCUUACCAGUGGCAGCCUCUGCACUGCCAGCCCACUGGCACCGGGAUGUCUCUGCUGGGCCAGCUGCAUCACUGUCGCCUCCCAUCAGCUCAGGUCCAUGCUGGUACUGCCUGGGUGUGCCCAGUAUAAAAUUUCUGAUGACUCAAAAGAACUGGUCAUGUGGGAGAAGUAAUGUUAGAGAGCUGGAUGUGCUUUUAAUCUCAUUUAAUGGCAUUUAGCACAUUGAUAUCUCUGCUCAUGCCUAUGGGACCUGCUUGUGGACCAAUGUUUCAACAAUUAAUAUUCAAGAGCAUCUGCAUGAGCACAGUUCGGCAGCAAGCAAAUACAGCAGCACAUGCAAAGCCAGCAGGGAACUGGUGCUCAUCAUGGCUGUGAGUUCAAAGUUUAAAUGAAUCUGAACGUGGGGGCUGAGGGAUCAGACUUGAAUGCCUAACAAGCCGCCUCCUCCACUCCUUCAGCAGAUGGCAAUCCUGCUAACAGCACUUGUGUAAGGUCCCCUUGCAGAACAAGUGGAGCGGAGCUGGAGAGUUUUUGCCAGUUAUCGUGUGCUGGAUCCAAAUGAGGUUGUCCCAAAUGCUAUAUGAUUAUUGCAGCCUUGCAUGAAGUUCGACCAGUCCUGCACAUUGUGUUCUAUAGCAAGACACGAAGGCUGACUUCCUGGGUUUCUCUCACAGCCAUUAGCAAGCUGGGUCCUGCUUGCAGAGCCUGAGGAGACGGGAUUCAACGGCAGCAUUUAUGAAAGCGCACACAUCCCCGGAAUGUUACCUGCUCUUCAAAAACUCAGUAAUCCACCUCCUAUAUGAGGUGGAAGUUGUGCUUUUAAAACAUCACCUUCUGCUUUAUAUACCGGUAUACUAAUGAGGUUUUU